UGGGGAAUAUUGGACAAUGGGCGCAAGCCUGAUCCAGCCAUGCCGCGUGUGUGAAGAAGGGCUUCGGGUUGUAAAGCACUUUUGUUCGGGAAGAAAUCGUACGGAUUAAUACUUUGUACGGAUGACGGUACCGAAAGAAUAAGCACCGGCUAACUUCGUGCCAGCAGCCGCGGUAAUACGAAGGGUGCAAGCGUUACUCGGAAUCACUGGGCGUAAAGCGUGGGUAGGUGGUUCGGCAAGUCUGUUGUGAAAGCUCCUGGCUUAACCGGGAGAGGCCAAUGGAUACUACCGGACUUGAAUGCAGGAGAGGUCACUGGAAUUCCCGGUGUAGCGGUGAAAUGCGUAGAGAUCGGGAGGAACACCGAUGGCGAAAGCAGGUGACUGGACUGCUAUUGACACUGAGCCACGAAAGCUAGGGGAGCAAA
rnacentral:rRNA from 1 species